UGUCUCGGGUGUUACUACUAACGGAGUUAUGGAAGAGUGGAAUGAUAGAAGAUUCAUGGACAACAGCGGUAACUCAUCGCGCAGGUUUGGUGGAUGCUGGCGAGCACAGUCGUAUUGUAAUUUCUUGAUGGUGUGCCUGGAGACUUAGGGAGAAGAAGGAAGCUGUAGAGCUUGAGGCAGAUCCAGAAAGGGAUCAAAGAAUUGUUUCUGCCUAUCAGGAUUUGAAUUCAACCUUAUUGAAGAGUAGAGGACUUUCUCCGGAGAUAUUGCUGCUCAAAUUAAGCACAAUAACAAAUCUCUUCAUUUCAAAGUUGAUACUAAAUCAAAUGUGUUGACGAUAUUUACUCUCAGAUUUCGUGACUUCUGCUAAAGCCGUUGCUUUUAUUCGAUUACCUGAUUACAAAUCCGGCAAGAUUGAAGUUCAAUAUCUUCAUGAUCAUGCUGGUUUUACUACUGCUGUUGAUUUGAGUCGCAACCCUGCUAUUGAUUUUUCUGCGACAAUUGGUACUCCUGAUCUUCAGGACGACUGUGAAGAUAGGGAUUUAUUGAAUGGAUUUAGUGAAGAUAUCUUAGAGCUUUCAUCGUCUGGUUGAAGAGCUCGUUGUAACUUUAACUGAGUCCAACAUUCAAGCAGCAAGCAUGAAGUGUAUUAGGUGGUAGUCAUGGUGUCCCACGAGUUCAUUACAAAGGACGACAAGGUGAUUUCUAUAUUAUGUGUUGUGAAAGUUUUUUUUAGAGAGGGGUAUGGGUUUAUCUCUUGAUGUUUUUGUAACCUGGAAUUGUUUGGCAGGUCAUGGAUUUCUAGCAAUUAGUUAUCCUUCCUAUAAUUGUAAUAUGAGUGGAGCUGAUCAUUGUUAAGUCUCUUCAUACAUUUAGAAAUCAAAAUUCUAACAAGGAACAUUUCAUAAUUGUUAUGAAAUUAUGACAGUAGUUAUUAUGAAUGUAAUUAUACAAUGUGUCUUAUAUACUUUAUUUUACAACUUCAUUUUUUGUUUUC